GAUGUUUUCUGGAGGAACUGGGACGCGUGGGCGCGUUAAGUUAUAGGGAAACCCCCAAUUCCUGAGACACGGAUGAGGGCACAUUCUAGUCUGUGGUUCCGAAACCAGCCAUGAUUCGCUGUGAGCUUCCCACCCCUGUGCUGGAAGGCGCCAAGUUCUGAAGACCUGUGGCCUCCUCGUGGCCUCCAGGUCCUCUGCGGGAAACACCCAGCGUCCUUUGUCUGACCAACUCCUACACGUCAAUCACCUGCAAUUCGGUCGCCGCCUCCUCCAGGAAAUUUCCCUGGAUCUGCAGAAAGUUACUCCUUCCCUGAGGAUGGAUGUCAGUUGCUGGGUUCGUGCACCUUCCCUUUGGCUUCUGUCCCACUAGUCUAUGGUCCAAACAUAAGAUCCUUUAAACUCCCGUAUGAGCCCCUCCAGUGCGAGCUUCCGCAUAAGUCCUGGAACUAUGUGACAGUCUGUAACUAUGUAACCAGGCUGGCUCUAGAUUCAGAGUUCCGCUUGGUUUUGCCUCCUGAGUACUGAGAAAGGACUAAAGGAGUGGCCUCCACACCCGGUACAAACCCCAACACUCCAGAAUCAAGAGUUGCUGGGUAGUCAGGCUACAGA
ensembl:processed_transcript predicted gene 15545